rnacentral:lncRNA from 1 species
UAUCUAAGGACCCUUGAGAGGUGUGGGACAACUCUCUUUUCAGUUCAAAGAUUUUGGUCCUGUUUGCAGUGCCAUAUCCGGCCUGGAGUUGGGACCAUAUGCUCUGUGGAGUAUCAGAGUACUGCACAGAUUCAGCAAUCGGAGGGGAGAGGGAAGUAGUUAACCAAGAAAUCACCAUGUUGUUGCACCUAUCCCACAACCUUUGUUGAGCCACAUUUAUGGCAGGUCGGGAACAUGUGCCAUCAACAAAACCAAUUUUGU